GUAUGAUCUGACAUUAAAGAGCGACCAGGCCAAACGGGCGUGCCAAGCCAUCCAAGAUGAGCUGAAGGACGCCGAGGCCCGCUUACCUCCUCCCCCAGACACACCAUCCCCCCAAAAGAAACACAGGAAGGAGUUGGACGUCCAUGAUGGAGAAACCGAUUCACCCCACAGAAGAUACCAUGGUAAAAGAUACCCUUGGAGUAGGGCCCAGAUCGAAGUAUUACAACGCGGUAUGAGGUCACUAUUACAGAGGGAUACAUUUCCAAAAAAUGAAGAAAUAAGGGACGCGUUUCUCGAUGAGCCGCUGUCUCUGGUUCGUAUCUUCCGACUGUACGAUUGCGUCGACUGGCGCAAAAAAUGCAUCGAGAAAGUUAGAAAUAUGUUCAAGACAAAAAAGAAAUAUAAAAAAAAUUGUAAAGACCUCCUCGGCUGGGGGGUAGUGUUUCCCAAUUUAAGACUCCGUUUCAUGCCCUUGAGAACCCUAAAUCCUAACCCAUAAUGGAUGAAACGAAGGAGGAAUUAUCAUCUAAGCAUUACGCCCGAGGCGAGGAGGUCCAGGGUAAAGGGUUAGUUAGUGUUUGCGUUUUAACUAAAAAAAUUACAAAAGAAAUUAAAAAAAAUUAAAAACAAAAAAACAAAAAAAAACCCCCGACGAGAGAAAAGAAAACCAAGGAGAGUCAAACAUGAUUGAAAAAAGGUGGAACCAAAGCCAAGGAAAGUUGGAAAG